GACGAACGCUGGCGGCGUGCUUAACACAUGCAAGUCGAGCGGAGCGGCGAACGGGUGAGUAACGCGUGAGUAACUGACCCCCUCUCUGGGAUAACAGUUGGAAACGGCUGCUAAUACCGGAUAGUGGGGGAUGACUCGCGGCCUAUCAGCUUGUUGGUGGGGUAGUGGCCUACCAAGGCGACGACGGGUAGCCGGCCUGAGAGGGCGACCGGCCACAUGGGGCUGAGAUAGGGCCCAGACGGCUACGUGACGCAGCAGGGGGAAGUAUGGCACAAUGGGGGAGCCCCUGUGGAAGAGGCGCCGGGUGCGGAAUGCCGGGCUUCGGGUGAUGAACCGCUUUCAGCCAAGACGCGGUAGUUGCAGAAGAAGCACCGGCUAACUACGUGCCAGCAGCCGCGGUAAUAC
rnacentral:rRNA from 1 species